AUGCAAGACGCUAACCCACAAUCAACCGUUAGCAUAACAAACGACAAAGAAGAAGAAAACAACGAGGAGGAGGUAUCACAAGCACUGCAAGACCAAGAGACAACCCGUGUUGAAAUUGAACCCCAGAGUGAACCUCAAACAGACGAAGGCGUCACAGAACAGGAACUUUGUGUACAAGAGAUUUCCAGUAGCACAACAUUGCAGAUCACCAUCACGAGUACAAAGGAGAAAGCGCAAGACAUCCCAGCCGAUGAGAAACAAGAGACUGUUAUACCUGACAAAGAAACAGUAGAUGCAGGCACAAAUAACCCAGUCAUCAACACGGAGGAAACAAACGAGUACGCUGAUCUCGAAGAUCAAGAACUUCAAUCAACAAUAUCUGAUGAGGUUAGGUUACAAAGCUCAGACACAAAUGAAGUUCAAUCUAUAAAUUAA
rnacentral:rRNA from 1 species